rnacentral:tRNA from 1 species
CGGUGUGUAGCGCAGUCCGGUAGCGCGCUUGCUUUGGGAGCAAGAUGUCGGGGGUUCGAAUCCCUCCACACCGACCA